rnacentral:rRNA from 1 species
AGCAGCCGCGGUAAUUCCAGCUCCAAUAGCGUAUAUUAAAGUUGUUGCAGUUAAAAAGCUCGUAGUUGAAUUUCGGAAUCGACGGAUUGGUCGCGCCUUCGGUGUGUACUGGUCUUGCCGGUUUCUCCCUUCUGACGAACCACGAUGUCAUUAAUUUGGUGUCGCGGGGAAUCAGGACUGUUACUUUGAAAAAAUUAGAGUGUUUAAAGCAGGCAUUAGCUUGAAUACAUUAGCAUGGAAUAAUGAAAUAGGACGUUUGAUCUUAUUUUGUUGGUUUCUAGGAUCGACGUAAUGAUUAAUAGGGAUAGUUGGGGGCAUUAGUAUUCAAUUGUCAGAGGUGAAAUUCUUGGAUUUAUUGAAGACUAACUACUGCGAAAGCAUUUGCCAAGGAUGUUUUCAUUAAUCAAGAACGAAAGUUAGGGGAUCGAAGACGAUCAGAUACCGUCGUAGUCUUAACCAUAAACUAUGCCGACUAGGGAUCGGAUGAUGUUAAUUUUUUAAUGACUCAUUCGGCGCCUUACG